CCACAAGUGAUGGAAAAUUCACUAUUUGGAAAAGAAUGACGACAAUAAAGGAGCCACUAAUGUGC